rnacentral:rRNA from 1 species
AUGAAAGGUGGCGGUGUCAAAAUCUUGUCGCGGCGCAUGGUCAUGCCGGAGUACGAAGCGAGCUCGCGGCCUCGGGAGCCUGACACCGUCCACCUGACGCCAUGGGACCUGCGGCGGAUCACCGUUGACUACAUCCAGAAGGGCGUCCUCCUGCCCAAGCCUCCGACCGGCGUCCACGUCGUCGAACACCUCGCGUCGUCCUUCGCGCGCGCCCUGGGCCGCUUCUACCCCCUCGCCGGCCGCUUUACCGUCGCGCCAGUGGCCAACGACGGCAACGGGGCGCCGUCACCUCGACCGGGCCUCACGAUCUCGCUUCGCUGCAGCGACGAAGGCGCCGAGUUCGUCCACGCCGUGGCGCCCGGGGUCACCGUCGCCGACAUCACCGGGGCGCUCUGCACCCCACGUGUGGUCUGGUCCUUCUUCCCUCUCAACGGGGUGCUCGGGACGGACGCGGUCGUCGACCCCAGCCUGCCGCUCCUGGCCGCGCAGGUCACCGAGCUCGCCGACGGCGUCUUCGUCGCCAUGUCGCUCAACCACUGUGCCGCCGACGGGACGACGUUCUGGGACCUGUUCAACACAUGGUCGGAGAUCAGCCGAAACAAGAGCGGCAUAUCUACGGCGCCGCCACUCCGGGUUCAGAGGUGGUUCCACGACGGCUGCCCCGUGCCGAUCCCUCUGCCGUUCGCCAAGGUGCAAGACAUGGCCAGGCGGUUCGAGUAUCCGCCGGUGCAGGAAUGCUCGAUCCAUUUCUCCCCGGAGAGCAUAAAGAAGCUGAAGGCGAAGGCCAAUGCCGAGAUGGCCGGCACGGCCACGGCCACCAUCUCGUCUCUGCAGGCCCUGUUCGCGCACCUAUGGCGAGCGGUGUGUCGAGCCCGGGGGCUGGCGCCGGAGCAGGAGACGAAGCUCACGCUCCCCAUGGGAUGCCGGACACGCAUAAAGGGCAUUCCGCAGGGCUACAUCGGCAACGCGGUGGCAGGCGCAGUCGGCAGGACGCCCGUCGGCGAGAUCCUGGGAGACGGCCGGCUGGGCCGGACGGCGUGGCUCCUGAACCGCGCCGUCGCCUCGUUCGACGAGGCGGGCUUGACGGCCGAGCUCGCGUCUUGGUCCCGAAACCCCAGCUUCCGGUACGCGGCCGACUACGGCACGGAGCCUGCGGUGCUGGUGAUGAGCAGCUCGCCGCGGUUCGACGUGUACGGCAACGACUUCGGGUGGGGCAGGCCGGUGGCCGUCCGGAGCGGCGCCGGGAGCAAGCUGGACGGGAUGGUCACGGUGUACGAGGACGGCGGAGGGAGUGGCGGCAUGGAGCUGGAGGUGUGCCUCGCUCCUGAUGUGCUCGUCAGGCUCGUCGCCGACGAAGAGCUGAUGGGAGCGUCGGUAGGAGCUCGACUGGCCCGAGGCGGUAGGUGCACCGGCGGUGCAUCGGAGGAGUUUGCCGGUGGAGGCAUGCAUCAGUCAUACUCAUACAGUACUGCUGGUGAACUCAUGCCUGAGCCCCAGUACGAGAACCAAAUAAUGUCGCGCAAGAUGGAAGUCUAG